ACUAUUUUUAUAUGUAUAUUUUUAAAGUAAAAUGGUGGUAGGAUGUGUUACAUGGUACAAAAAAAAGUUCUACAUGUGCUGUCUUUCUCAGUAUAUGUUAUGGUCCUAGGUCAUUGACCCAGCAUUUUGAGUUUUGUUGUGGAGUCAAGAUUCUUUCUUUUGCACAAGGGGUUGUAUUUAAAUUCAAGUUCUGUGCAGUUUAAUCUUGAGUUUUGCUUUUUGUAAUGAGUUUGUUAUCUAUAUUUCUGAUUCUAGUUUUGUCUCCAAGUUCCAUCUCUGUGUCUUGUCUUCAGCGUAUCUUGUGGAAGUUACUCUGUUGCAUUUUGAGAGUCCUUUCUCUUGUGUGUGUUAUGUUCAGUUUUGCCUCUCCUUUCUUGUUACUCCUGAUUUCUCGAUGCUGUGCUCCCAGCUGUCUCCACUUCUCUAAUCACCAUCUUGUGUGUAUGUUCGUGUGUGUUCCUGACUCAUGUUUUGUUAAGUUCGCAAGUCUUCAGCAAAAAAGCUGUUUUGACUUUUACCUCGUACGUUCGCAGUCCUGCACUUGGGUUCUACUUUGCCUGCCAGACCAUAAAACCUGACAAUAUUAAGUAAAUUAUUUUUUAAAAAUCAUCUAUGGAUGGAUGAAAGUUUUUUUUUGUCUCUUUCCUUUUUUCUUUUUCAUUGCUUUUUACAUGCCGCAGUACAGCAGGUGUAUAGAAAGUCAUCUGUAAUAUGAUACUCUUAGUAAACACACAAAAUACAUAUAUACUACUGUUCUCAGCUAUUCACACAGUAUCAUAUCCUCGCCCUGGUUUGGGUUGCUUUGAUUCAUAUAGCUGUCAUAGUUUUCUAAUUUUUUUGACCCAAAGAGCAGCCUGCAACCAUUAGAAGACUUUAAAGGUUUAUUUACAAGUGAGUGUUAAGCAGCAAGAUCACCACUGAUGAACGUCUUUAGAGGAGGAGACAGACUGUCAGGUAUGGCUACUGCCAUAAGGAGUUUUAAGUCUAAGGAGUCUAAUCUGACCAUCCCAACUCGCCACGUGAAAGAACAAAACACUGUCCCACUGUCCCAAUACCUGGCAGUAGUACGUUGUUUUUCAAUUUUUUUUUUUUUUUGUUGUUUUUCAAUUUGAUUGUAUUUGUAGCCAGUCUGGCAGAGCCAAUAGUGAUGGGUCGGUCGCGAACGAAAUGGCUCUUAGAGCCGGUUCUUUGACGUGAACGACGCGAGCCGGCUCCUUAUCGCGAGCCGUUUUUUUUUUUCUUUCUUUCUCUCACCCUCUCUCUCGUACGGAGCCCCGCAGGGGACAUGGGAGAAAAAAAAUUAAGACGGACUUUUGCGAGAUCUCGCAAAACUAACUCGGGAUCUCGCAAAAUUUUUGCGAGAUCUCGCAAAACUUUUAGCUGCAUUCUUCGGACGCCGGCUCGAAGCCGACCGGGAGGUCGAGGCACGAUGUGCCGGGAAAGUGGUGUUCCUCCCGGCUGUAGUAGGUCUCGACCUCCCGUUAGCUUCGAGCUAACGGGAAGAAUGCGGCUAAAACUUUUGCAAGAUCUCGCAAAAGUUUUGCGAGAUCCCAAGUUUGUUUUGUUUUAUAACAUGUAUUUGAAUAAUAUAUUAAUGCUUGUGUAUAAAUACACAAACAAUACACAUAUGCUUUCAUGCUUUCAAUUGUGUAAUUUAGGUGAUCUAGGUAGCUCUGUUUUGGAAGUUCAGUUCAUGCUAGAAAUGUGUUUUGGAGUUUGUACGUGUUUU
ensembl:lncRNA